rnacentral:snRNA from 1 species
GUGCUCCCUUUGGCAACACAUACACUAAAAUUGGAACAAUACAGAGGAGAUUAACAUGGUCCCUGUGCAAGGAUGACAUGCAAAUUUGUGAAGCAUUCCAUAUUUUU